UGUAUCUGUGCCAUUCCAUAUGGAAGCCAUAAACCUCAUGUGGCAACCAAAGACAUGAAAUGUUCCUAGUGAGACUGAGGAACUCGAUUUUUUAUUUUGCUUAAUUUAAAUUAAUUUAAAUAGCCACAUUUUUAAAUAGCCAGUGGCUACCAUACUGGAUGAUGUAAGAGCCUCAGGGAACCAAAGGCUUUGGGACUAGACUCUUCCACUGACUCAGAAAAAGAAAGCAGAGAAGGAGAGAAGCCAGUGCUGUUCAUACUCGGGAGAGGAAAAAUGUGUUUGCCCCUCCCAGGUACACAAAGAGAGAGCCCGAAAUCAACAUCCGCGGUUGCCCUGAGAUAGCAUCACCCAUCGUUCCGCCGGUGCGCCCUCCCUGAGAUGGUGGCGUGUGUUGUUUGGGCUGUUUUUCAUAGCCGCCGCAGCUGGGAAUUCAAGAUGCUAUACUUAGGCAGAAGUCCAUGAAGGAAUUAAUUGAUAUGAGCCAGAAGUUGAUUGCCAUUUAAGUACUCAGCCUCCACCAUUGCCAAGUUUCCCUCUUUGCAGAAAGAACUGAGCUUGCCUGCAAACUGGCUCAUUCAGGAUGUGAGCACAAGAUGGAAUUCAACCUUUAAUAUGCUGCAACACCUGCUUGGAAAUAAAGGGGCUCUGUGCUUUUCCCCCCAA
ensembl:lncRNA novel transcript